GAUGAAGAACGUUGCGAAAUGCGAUAAGUAAUGUGAAUUGCAGAAUUCAGUGAAUCAUCGAAUCUUUGAACGCACAUUGCGCCCUCUGGUAUUCCGGGGGGCAUGCCUGUUCGAGCGUCAUUAUAACCACUCAAGCUCUCGCUUGGUAUUGGAGUUCGCGAUCUCGCGGCUCCUAAAAUCAGUGGCGGUGCCUGUCGGCUCUACGCGUAGUAAUACUCCUCGCGAUUGAGUCCGGUAGGUUUACUUGCCAGCAACCCCCAAUUUUUACAGGUUGACCUCGGAUCAGGUAGGGAUACCCGCUGAACUUAAGCAUAUCAAUAAGCGGAGGA
rnacentral:misc_RNA from 1 species